AGAUCUCCUUAGCCAGGUCCAAUUAGGGGACCACUGAGAGGGAGCAGCUAAGAUCAAGUGUAGUAUCUGUUCUCAUCAGUUUAAUAUCUGAUACGUCCCCUAUCUGGGGACCAUAUGUACCACAUGUACCUUCU
rnacentral:snRNA from 1 species